rnacentral:lncRNA from 1 species
CGCCUCAACAUGGCUUGAUGAGCAAUGCCAUGGCCACACCCAGGAUCCCAACCAGUGAAACCUUGGGCGGCUGAAGCAGAGCGCCUGAACUUAACCACUUGGCCACGGGGUCGGACCCAUGGCCAAGUCUUAUAGUCCAGGAAAGGGUGCGAGUAGACGACUGAAUAUGCAGAUGAGGAUUCAAAAGUGAAGAGGGUGCCCCGGGGCCCAAAGGGUUGUUUUCACUAGCAUGACCACCAGCAGGAGCAGAAGGACUAGUUUCAGAGGCUUUGGCUGAGGCCACUCAGCUGAUGCCCUAGGCCCUCCUAAGCACAGGCUGAGGGCAGGAGCGUCAGCAAGAGCUGUGGCUCCACCGGGAGCCACAGCUUUGCUGUGCCGCAGGCUCUUCGACAAACUGCAACGCUCCUCCCUGAAGCCGUGGCUUCCAGAGGAGGGGGUGCCCUCGCGAGACUGGAAAAAUCUCGGUUGCGUUAGCUCUCAGAACCUGCCACCUCCAUGGGAAAGGCUCCCGAUCGCUGGCAAAACCCUUCUUGGACCGUUGGGAGGACUCAGGCUAAUGUCAGGUUGGAAAAUCUUCCAGCCUGGGCGCCCCGCUCCCACCCGGAAAAACCGAACUGCACCAUGGCUGGAUGAGCAGUGUGUAGGUCCACGCUGAGGAUCCGAACCUGAGAAGCCCAGGCCACUGAAGCAGAGGGCACGAACUUAACCACUAUGCUACCGUGCCAGCCCCUACUAGACCUAUUCUGAAUACAUUGGUAUGUCUCAGCCAAGAACCUAGAAGGAUUGUGAAAGGUGAAAUAAAAUGGAGCCACUUAUGUCAAGAGGUUUUUAAAUGGAGCUGGGAGGCCAUUAAGGAAGUGGGUAUGCACGUCCUCACCAAAUGGAACCGUGAACUUUUGAACUGGGCCUGAUCGCAAAUAUUUCAGGGCUUCUGCAAGAACACCUGCACCUUGCUACAGUGCUACACUUUUGCUUAGUGAUGGCCUUAGCAACCAAACAUGUUUAGCCAAGAUUAGUUUUCUAUCUCCCGCACUGAGUAAAAUUCUUUGUAAACAAUUUAUGCAAACAUUGUCACUUUGUCUUUAAAAACCCCUGACUUUUGCUCCCUAAUGGGACACUGUUUGAGUUGCUGCUCAAAUCUGUGUACGCUGAAAUGCAAUUUUUUGAUCCCAAAUAAAUGCUUUGCUUCUUGAACUAGUUUCUUGUUUUUAGAUUGACAGGUUAGGGGGAAAUUAUUUUUCCUCCCCUAAAGUAGUCGGAGUCGAGAGGGUGUCCUUCUCCCCAUGGACCGCUAUGGCAGUGAGGGAACCCACAAGGCAAGAGAUGGCAGUCCAAGGCCAGAACUUUAAGCACACUUGGAGGAGUCGCCUUUGUAAACA